UGAAUUGCAAUCCUUUCUUUUUAUUAAUAGUUCAUUAAAAUAUUGGCCAUGGGAUAAGGAAUGAGUUGGAAUACAUUUAGAACUAUAGCAAUUUUAUAAUAAAUUUAAAGUGAUUUCUGUUUCUAUAUUUAUGAUUUGCCAUUUAGUCUAAAAGCCACUUUUCAAAGAUUUUUCUGAUCUUUCUUCAAAAAGCACUCAUCAACACUAGCUACAGGUCAUUGACAGCCCUUCUUCAGAGUGCACUGUCUGUGCAUGCCAAAGACAUUGAUAACCAGCGGCCAGUCGUGUGACCAAUUUUCACCUGAGCUGAGAUUUUCAUUUCUUCCAAAUGUCCAAUGGUUGGAUGGAAGAGAGGAUGUUCACUUCUACUUUGAAUAUAUGACUGAAGUUCUGUUCCAAUAUGAACAAAGAAAUGGUAGUGAGAAUGUAAAAAAAGGAGAUGAUUACACCAAGUAUAGACUUAUAAGAUCCUAACAACACAGCACGCCAGGGUCUAUGCUGCAUGAUUUAUCGCCAUGGAGAAGCUCAAGCAAUACCCAGACUCUGAGAGGAGGACAAAGGCAUCUCCAGAUCACCUGCAAAGAAACCCCAUGGCUUUCAAUGGCUGCAGUCCAAAUACACUUAAACUGAAUUAAAUUGCACCCAAAUACUGGAAACAAAUAUUAAA